GAUGAACGCUGGCGGCGUGCCUAAUACAUGCAAGUCGAGCGAACAGAUGAGGAGCUUGCUCCUCUGACGUUAGCGGCGGACGGGUGAGUAACACGUGGAUAACCUACCUAUAAGACUGGGAUAACUUCGGGAAACCGGAGCUAAUACCGGAUAAUAUAUUGAACCGCAUGGUUCAAUAGUGAAAUACGGUUUUGCUGUCACUUAUAGAUUGAUCCGCGCCGCAUUAGCUAGUUGGUAAGGUAACGGCUUACCAAGGCAACGAUGCGUAGCCGACCUGAGAGGGUGAUCGGCCACACUGGAACUGAGACACGGUCCAGACUCCUACGGGAGGCAGCAGUAGGGAAUCUACCGCAAUGGGCGAAAGCCUGACGGAGCAACGCCGCGUGAGUGAUGAAGGUCUUCGGAUCGUAAAACUCUGUUAUUAGGGAAGAACAAAUGUGUAAGUAACUAUGCACGUCUUGACGGUACCUAAUCAGAAAGCCACGGCUAACUACGUG
rnacentral:rRNA from 1 species